rnacentral:rRNA from 1 species
UACGUAGGGGGCAAGCGUUGUCCGGAUUUAUUGGGCGUAAAGGGCGCGUAGGCGGCCACCGCAAGUCGGUUGUGAAAUCUCUGGGCUUAACCCAGAAAGGUCAACCGAUACUGCGGGGCUAGAGUGCAGAAGGGGCAACUGGAAUUCUCGGUGUAGCGGUGAAAUGCGUAGAUAUCGAGAGGAACACCUGCGGCGAAGGCGGGUUGCUGGGCUGACACUGACGCUGAAGCGCGAAAGCUAGGGGAGCGAACGGG